CCAAAUAGGUGUGUGUGGGGUUCGGGGAAGACCUGCUGGCCGAGCUUCCCAGCUAAACAGCAGCCGUUUCUAAAUAUACGUCCCAACCUUCUUUAGCAAUUGAGCAUCUCUGGGCCCGAGAAGCACCUUCGCCUCCCGACCGCCUAGUCUGGCACCCUGGUCUUCACCGAACUGGACUUCCUGGUGACGCCACACCGGAGACUUCCGGUUGCCGGCCUUGGAGUUAAACUGCCUAACGCGGGGGCUGCUAGUCCCCUGGGUUCCUGCGGGAUUCUGAUGGAGGAGCUACUCCUCUGCGAGGACACAGCAGGUGGGCUCCGCUGCUGGUCGGGGCAGGUUGUGAAGACCGAGGUGGCGCGGCGCACCAAGGCCUAUAUUUGAAGAAUUAGACCUUUUGAGCACCAUUUGCUACCCAGUUGGCAUUUGCUGAACAACUACUUCGUGCACGGCCCUCUAAUGGGCUUAGAGCGAGUCAACAAGAUCUGUAUUCGCAGACGCUUUACACGACAGACUAUAAAGAAACUGGAACUAUAUAGGAUGAGGUGCUGAGAAAUGAACAAGACUGGGACUAGGCUGAGGAAAACAAAAGUGCUCAGCUAAUAUUGCCUGAGGAACUAGGCAGUUCUUCAGGCUGUCAUCAUGGGUAUCCGAGGACUAAUGAGUUUCGUGGAAGAUCACAGUAAUGAGUUCUUCACUGAUUUGAAGUUGCGGGACACAAAAAUUAUCAUUGAUGGCUAUGCUCUUUUCCACCGACUUUGCUUCAAUUCAAAUUUGGAGCUUCGGUAUGGAGGGGACUAUGAUUCUUUUGCAGAAGUUGUAGAAAACUUCUUUGAAUCACUGUUUGCUUGUAAUAUAUGCCCGUAUGUUGUAUUAGAUGGAGGAUGUGACAUUUCAGAUAAAAAGCUUAUAACUUUAAAGGAUCGAGCUAGAGAGAAGAUUCAGAUGGCCCAUUCCCUAUCUAUUGGUGGGGGUGGGUGUGUGUGUCCCUUACUCAUCCGUGAAGUGUUCCUACAGGUUUUGAUCAAGCUGCAAGUAUGUUUUGUCCAGUGCUUUUCAGAAGCAGAUCGGGAUAUUAUGACACUUGCCAAUCAUUGGAAUUGCCCUGUGUUAUCAUCAGAUAGUGACUUUUGCAUUUUUGACCUGAAAACAGGGUUUUGUCCAUUGAAUGGCUUCCAGUGGAGAAAUUUGAACACUAUUAAAGGCACACAAAACUACUAUAUUCCUGCCAAAUGCUUUUCCCUUGAUGCACUCUGCCAUUACUUCAGCAAUAUGAACAAAGCUCUACUACCUCUCUUCGCAGUACUGUGUGGGAAUGACCAUAUUAAUCUGCCCAUCAUAGAGACAUUCUUAAGUAAAGUACGCCUUCCUCUUAGAGCUACUAGUUCUAAGGGAAGGAGACACCACCGAGUUCUGGGACUUCUGAACUGGUUGUCUCAUUUUGCUGACCCCACCGAAGCACUAGAUAAUGUUCUGAAAUACCUCCCAAAAAAGGAUCGAGAAAAUGUUAAGGAACUUCUCUGCUGUUCCAUGGAGGAAUACCAGCAGUCCCAGGUGAAGUUGCAGGACUUCUUCCAAAAUGGUACUUAUGUUUGUCCAGAUGCCUUGAAUCUCGGUUUACCAGAAUGGGUACUAGUGGCUUUAUCCAAAGGCCAGCUGUCUCCUUUCAUCAGUGAUGCUCUGGUGCUAAGACGGACCAUUCUUCAAACACAGGUAGAAAACAUGCAGAGACCAAAUGCCCACAAAAUAUCUCAGCCCAUCCGGCAAGUUAUCUAUGGGCUUCUUUUAAAUUCUUUGUCACAUGUAGAAAACAUGUCCUGGAGUGCCUUGCCUCAUCAGUCUCUAGCUUUCAGUGAAGUAGAAAGGAUUCAUCAAAACAUCAAAACAUCAAUUGUUCAUGCAGUAGAACUGCCUAAAGAUCAUGCUGAUUUGAGCAAAUUGACCAAGGUCUCCUUCGUUAGGCGGCAGAUGCUUCUGUUAGAAACCCUAAAGGUGAAACAGACCAUCCUGGAGCCAAUCCCUACUUCUCUUAAGUUGCCUAUUGCUGUCAGUUGCUACUGGUUGCAGCACACAGAGGCCAAGGCAAAGCUACAUCAUCUACAAGCCCUUCUGUUGGGGAUGCUGAUGGGGCCUUUGCAUGCCAUAAUCAACAGCCCUGGAAAUGUGAACCCUGCACCCUGGCAGGCUCAGUGCCUUGCUGCUUGAUAAUUGGUAAAAGGUAAAGAAGAGCUGCAGGAAGGUGGUGCUAAGAUGUUGUAUGAAGAGUUCCAAAGAGUGAAGGAGCUGACGUGGCCGGGCCGGAGACUGGAUUUAGACACAGCUCACAUCUUCUGUCAGUGGCAGUCCUGUCUCCAGAUGGGGAUGUAUCUCAACCAGCUGCUGUCCACUCCUCUCCCAGAGCCAGACCUAACUCGAUUGUAUAGUGGAAGCCUGGUGCAUGGACUAUGCCAACAACUGCUAACAUCAGCCUCUGUAGAAAGUCUCCUGAGCAUGUGUCCCGAGGCUAAGCAACUUUAUGAACACCUGUUCAAUGCCACAAAGUCAUAUGCUCCAGCUGAACUCUUCUUACCAAAGGGUAAAUCAAAUUCAAAAAAAAAAAGAAAGAAGAAAAAGGGUACCACCUGGUCAAAGAACAGAGUGGGAACUGCCUCAGAUCCCCGA